rnacentral:lncRNA from 1 species
UUUUCAGGCCUGCACUGGUGGGAUAUAGAAGUUCCCAGGCUAGGGGUGGGAGCUGCAGCAAUGCCGGAUUCGUAAUCCAUUGAGCAAGGCCGGGGAUCGAACUCACAUCCUCAUGGACACUAGUGGAGUUUGUUACCCCUCAGCCAUGAUGGGACCUCCCACAGAGACUUUUAUUUAUUUAUUUACUUAUUUUUGCCUUUUUGUCUUUUCUAGGGCCGCUUCCUGCAGCAUAUGAAGGUUCCCAGAAAAAAGGCAAAAAGACAAAAAAAAAAAAAAAAAGAGAGAGAGAGAGAGAGAGGGAAGAUUUUCCUUUAAAUGCGAGUGCCCUCCCGGAAAGCCGCAGGAAUAUCAGUUCCUGGAGAGCAGGGUUUCUAUCUGCUUGGCUCACUGCUGUCUCCUAAGCCGGGUUCCAGACAGAUAGCAGGCGCUCCAUAAAUAUGUGUUGAGUGAACGAGUGGCAAAUAAAUAUUUCAAAAAUACCUGGAAUAUGGGAAGUGGGGGGAUAAUCUAGGUAUCACACAGCACAGGGGAUUCUGGGGCCAUCAGCAUCUCUCAAGAUGCAGCAAUUUAAUUUCAACAAGCAAAGCUGCCACCAGGUUGAAUGCAUGCUGUUAACUAGUUUUAAAGCCUUUGUAGGUUUGUUUGUGUUGACUUGUAUAUUUAUUUGUUUAUUUUUGGCUGCACCCACAGCAUAUGAAGUUCCCUGGGCCAGGGACUGAAUCUGAGCUGCAGCUGCAGCAAUGCUGGAUCCUUAACCCACCGGGCCACAGAAGGAACUCCUGUAAAUCUAUUUUUAUCUUAUAGUUAUAAUGGACCUAUGAGUGAAAGCUAUUUUCUGUCUUUAUGUAUUUGAGAAACAUUAUAAUAAAAAAAAUAAAUUAGGUCAAUUUUCAUGUCACUUAUAUGUGGAACCUCUAAAAAAUGAUACACAUGAACUUAUUUACAAAACAGAAACAGAUUCACAGACUUCAAAAACAAACUUAUGGUUACCAAAGGGGACAGGUGGCUGGGGUGCAGGGGGGAAGAUGGAUUGGGGGUUUGGGACUGGCAUAUGCACACGAUUGUAUAUGAAAUGAAUGGCCAAAGGGCACCUGCUGUAUAGCACAGGCAACUAAGGCUCCUCAGUACUCUGUGGUAACCUAUGUGGGAAAAGAAGCUGAAAAAGAAUGGCU